rnacentral:rRNA from 1 species
UACGUAGGUGGCAAGCGUUGUCCGGAAUUAUUGGGCGUAAAGCGCGCGCAGGCGGUCCUUUAAGUCUGAUGUGAAAGCCCACGGCUCAACCGUGGAGAGUCAUUGGAAACUGGGGGACUUGAGUGCAGGAGAGAAGAGUGGAAUUCCACGUGUAGCGGUGAAAUGCGUAGAUAUCGGGAGGAACACCAGUGGCGAAGGCGGCUUUCUGGGCCUUACCUGACGCUGAGACGCGAAAGCGUGGGGAGCGAACCGG